CGGCGGACGGGUGAGUAACACGUGGAUAACCUACCUAUAAGACUGGGAUAACUUCGGGAAACCGGAGCUAAUACCGGAUAAUAUUUUGAACCGCAUGGUUCAAAAGUGAAAGACGGUCUUGCUGUCACUUAUAGAUGGAUCCGCGCUGCAUUAGCUAGUUGGUAAGGUAACGGCUUACCAAGGCAACGAUGUAUAGCCGACCUGAGAGGGUGAUCGGCCACACUGGAACUGAGACACGGUCCAG
rnacentral:rRNA from 1 species